rnacentral:rRNA from 1 species
UCGAGAAUCUUCCGCAAUGGGCGCAAGCCUGACGGAGCGAUGCCGCGUGAGGGAAGACUGCCUUCGGGUUGUAAACCUCUGUCACCCGGGACGAAAGAACUGACGGUACCGGGAGAGGAAGUCACGGCUAACUACGUGCCAGCAGCCGCGGUAACACGUAGGUGGCUAGCGUUAUUCGGAUUCACUGGGCGUAAAGGGUCCGCAGGGGGCCUGCCAAGUCUGUCGUGAAAUCCCGGGGCUCAACCCCGGGCCUGCGGUGGAGACUGGUGGGCUUGAGUGUGUGAAGGGCAGACGGAACACCUGGUGUAGCGGUGGAAUGCGUGGAUAUCAGGUGGAACACCGAUGGCGAAGGCGGUCUGCUUGCACACAACUGACCCUCAUGGACGAAAGCGUGGGUAGCAAACAGG